rnacentral:lncRNA from 1 species
GAGUAAAAUGCUGAAGAUUGCACCACCUGCAUUCCAAAACCUGGUUCCCCACUGCUGCAGUCCCCUCACACCAGGAUCUGCUGCGAUGAUGGAAGAGCGGGAGUGGGUGCAGGAGGAGGUGCCUGCAGCGCAGCACACAGGUCAGUCCUCAGAUGYGUGACUCCAGAGUCGCGACUGUGCCAGGCUCUUCCCAGGCCGGAGGAGGCCAUGGGCAACCUGUCCAGCCGUUCCUCUGGGAUACCCAGCCGCUGGGAGGACAGCUAUCCUCAGUUGCUCUUUCAGUCCAACAGCAUUUAAAGACAUGUCAGUAACGUUGCCUUCUGGCAAUGUCCCCACAGGAGGCCACCACCCAGUGCAGGAAGGAGAGGUGUUCAACAUGAGAUACCAGGCUCUGCGCAAGCUGGGCUGUGGGGCCUUUGCCACGGUUUGGCUGUGCCAUGACGUGAGGUGAGGGGCUGAAUACAUUUCAGGGGCUGUAGGAAGGGUGUGCUGUCCUCCGCUCGGGCAGGGCCUGUCCCUUUUGUGCAGAAGCAGUGGAGCACAGCAGCCUGCCCGGGAGCACGUCAGCAUCAGCUCCGAGCGCUUCAAUGCACAGAGGCUCCCAAGGAGGACAACAGCGACUGGAGCUGGGGCAAAUCUGGCAGCAAGAUCCGUGGGGCACAAAUAGCAGAGUUGCUCCRCAGAAACUGAAGAACAUAAAUUAGGUGGGAUCAGCCCUUGCUCCACCUUUGCUCUUCCUGUUUAGAAUAGGUCAGACCCUGCAGUAUCCCUGUUCUGCCUUUACUUUCUGGUCCUUCUCUGCUCCCUGGGGCAGCUAUGCUGCAAGAUGCCAGCAUCAUCACCAGGAGAGACGUGCAUGGUCUUUGCAUGCCGCAGGCCAAGGGCAAGGCUGCUUGCAGGAGGGCAGCGCUCUCCCUGCAGAGSCCAGGGCUGGGUGACUGGGAGAAGGGGAGGCGUUGCUGCUUGGAGCUGCACUGGCGUGCAUUGGCAUGCAGCUGUGAUUCAUCUCGUAGGAGGAAGAAACACGUAGCUGUGAAGGUCCCCAGGAGCGGGGAAAGCUUCGCUGAGGCUGCCCAGGACGAGGUCGCUCUCCUUCGAUGUGUGAGCAGUAUGAAGAAGAAGGACCGGGCAGGAGAAAACAUCGUCUGUUUAUUAGACGACUUUAGAAUGAUGGGACAGAACGGCUUCCAUAUCCUUCUGCUGAGUGCUGCAGCUCUGGGUUGGCAAAGCCUUGGCUUGCCUUGGAGAGGUCACACGAUGGUUUUAAAGCAAAAGCUGUGGUCCAAGGAGGAUGAGCAGGGCAGCAGUUGGACCUGGGCACAUGAAAGUGGCUGGUGGGGGCAGGUGGAGUAAGGAGGUAUUUGGCUACUCUGGUAAAGGGCAAAAUAGUGGUGGUAGUAUCUUCUCCCUGUUAGUGAAUCCAUGACUCUUUCCCACAUAUGUGCUUGGUAUUUGAAGCACUGGGUCCUUCUCUGAGAAGUCUGAUGGGUAACUAUGCAGCCCAGGGCCUUCCUCUGCCUUUUGUGAAAAAAUCUUUACAGCAGGUGAGAACUUAGCUCUAAGCGGGUGACGGCACCAAGGGACUGGUUGGGUGGGGAACACACUGUUGUGUUCAUCCUGGGGUCAUCUGCCAGAGCUCCUGUGUGAUUCCAUCUGCAGAGAAAGGAACAACACGGAGUGAGUGCCCAAGGCAUACAAUUUGGAAGGAAAACACUAACUAUUUAUUUUGGGUAUACGGGGAGAAAAUGUUUUAAAAAUAAAAUAAAAGGCAGAAUGGGAAGUCA